GAUGAAGAACGCAGCGAAAUGCGAUAAGUAAUGUGAAUUGCAGAAUUCAGUGAAUCAUCGAAUCUUUGAACGCACAUUGCGCCCGCUAGUAUUCUGGCGGGCAUGCCUGUCCGAGCGUCAUUUCAACCCUCAAGCCCCCGGGCUUGGUGUUGGGGAUCGGCGAGCCUCCGCGCCCGCCGUCCCCUAAAUCUAGUGGCGGUCUCGCUGUAGCUUCCUCUGCGUAGUAGCACACCUCGCACUGGGAAACAGCGCGGUCACGCCGUUAAACCCCCAACUUCUGAACGUUUGACCUCGGAUCAGGUAGGAAUACCCGCUGAACUUAAGCAUAUCAAUAAGCGGAGGA
rnacentral:misc_RNA from 1 species